GCAAGUCGAGCGGAAACGAGUUAUCUGAACCUUCGGGGAACGAUAACGGCGUCGAGCGGCGGACGGGUGAGUAAUGCCUAGGAAAUUGCCCUGAUGUGGGGGAUAACCAUUGGAAACGAUGGCUAAUACCGCAUGAUGCCUACGGGCCAAAGAGGGGGACCUUCGGGCCUCUCGCGUCAGGAUAUGCCUAGGUGGGAUUAGCUAGUUGGUGAGGUAAGGGCUCACCAAGGCGACGAUCCCUAGCUGGUCUGAGAGGAUGAUCAGCCACACUGGAACUGAGACACGGUCCAGACUCCUACGGGAGGCAGCAGUGGGGAAUAUUGCACAAUGGGCGCAAGCCUGAUGCAGCCAUGCCGCGUGUGUGAAGAAGGCCUUCGGGUUGUAAAGCACUUUCAGUCGUGAGGAAGGUAGUGUAGUUAAUAGCUGCAUUAUUUGACGUUAGCGACAGAAGAAGCACCGGCUAACUCCGUGCCAGCAGCCGCGGUAAUACGGAGGGUGCGAGCGUUAAUCGGAAUUACUGGGCGUAAAGCGCAUGCAGGUGGUUUGUUAAGUCAGAUGUGAAAGCCCGGGGCUCAACCUCGGAAUAGCAUUUGAAACUGGCAGACUAGAGUACUGUAGAGGGGGGUAGAAUUUCAGGUGUAGCGGUGAAAUGCGUAGAGAUCUGAAGGAAUACCGGUGGCGAAGGCGGCCCCCUGGACAGAUACUGACACUCAGAUGCGAAAGCGUGGGGAGCAAACACGAUUAGAUACCCUGGUAGUCCACGCCGUAAACGAUGUCUACUUGGAGGUUGUGGCCUUGAGCCGUGGCUUUCGGAGCUAACGCGUUAAGUAGACCGCCUGGGGAGUACGGUCGCAAGAUUAAAACUCAAAUGAAUUGACGGGGGCCCGCACAAGCGGUGGAGCAUGUGGUUUAAUUCGAUGCAACGCGAAGAACCUUACCUACUCUUGACAUCCAGAGAACUUUCCAGAGAUGGAUUGGUGCCUUCGGGAACUCUGAGACAGGUGCUGCAUGGCUGUCGUCAGCUCGUGUUGUGAAAUGUUGGGUUAAGUCCCGCAACGAGCGCAACCCUUAUCCUUGUUUGCCAGCGAGUAAUGUCGGGAACUCCAGGGAGACUGCCGGUGAUAAACCGGAGGAAGGUGGGGACGACGUCAAGUCAUCAUGGCCCUUACGAGUAGGGCUACACACGUGCUACAAUGGCGCAUACAGAGGGCGGCCAACUUGCGAAAGUGAGCGAAUCCCAAAAAGUGCGUCGUAGUCCGGAUUGGAGUCUGCAACUCGACUCCAUGAAGUCGGAAUCGCUAGUAAUCGUGGAUCAGAAUGCCACGGUGAAUACGUUCCCGGGCCUUGUACACACCGCCCGUCACACCAUGGGAGUGGGCUGCAAAAGAAGUAGGUAGUUUAACC
rnacentral:rRNA from 1 species